AAAUGUUAAAGUUCUUAUUUCAUGGUAUAACUUUGGUAUGCUUGGACCUAGAGUCUUCAAACUUGACAUGAAGGUUGGCCAGGAUUAACAGAUGACCACUGGUCAUUUCAAGGUCAUUCAUUUGAAGGUCAAGGUCACUGUGACCUUGAAUGUAAAAAUGUUAAAGUUCUUAUUUCAUUGUAUAACUUUGGUAUGCUUGGACCUAGAGUCUUCAAACUUGACAUGAAGGUUGGCCAGGAUUAACAGAUGACCACUGGUCAUUUCAAGGUCAUUCAUUUGAAGGUCAAGGUCACUGUGACCUUGAAUGUAAAAAUGUUAAAGUUCUUAUUUCAUGGUAUAACUUUGGUAUGCUUGGACCUAGAGUCUUCAAACUUGACAUGAAGGUUGGCCAGGAUUAACAGAUGACCACUGGUCAUUUCAAGGUCAUUCAUUUGAAGGUCAAGGUCACUGUGACCUUGAAUGUAAAAAUGUUAAAGUUGUUAUAACUUUGGUAUGCUUGGACCUAGAGUCUUGAAACUUGACAUGAAGGUUGGCCAGAACUAGUAAGUAACCACUGGACAUUUCAAGGUCAUUCAUUUGAAGGUCAAGGUCACUGUGACCUUGAAUGUAAAAAUGUUAAAGUUCUUAUUUCAUGUUAUAACUUUGGUAUGCUUGUACCUAGAGUCUUCAAACUUGAAAUAAAGAUUGGCCAGUA